rnacentral:rRNA from 1 species
GGGGUCCUACGGGACGCAGCAGUAGGGAAUCUUCCACAAUGGGCGAAAGCCUGAUGGAGCAACGCCGCGUGGGUGAAGAAGGUCUUCGGAUCGUAAAACCCUGUUGUUAGAGAAGAAAGUGCGUGAGAGUAACUGUUCACGUUUCGACGGUAUCUAACCAGAAAGCCACGGCUAACUACGUGCCAGCAGCCGCGGUAGUACGUAGGUGGCAAGCGUUAUCCGGAUUUAUUGGGCGUAAAGGGAACGCAGGCGGUCUUUUACGUCUGAUGUGGAAGCCUUCGGCUUAACCGGAGUAGUGCAUUGGG